GCGGCGUGCUAUACAUGCAAGUCGAACGAGUUCUGAUUAUUGAAAGGUGCUUGCAUCUUGAUUUAAUUUUGAACGAGUGGCGGACGGGUGAGUAACACGUGGGUAACCUGCCCUUAAGUGGGGGAUAACAUUUGGAAACAGAUGCUAAUACCGCAUAAAUCCAAGAACCGCAUGGUUCUUGGCUGAAAGAUGGCGUAAGCUAUCGCUUUUGGAUGGACCCGCGGCGUAUUAGCUAGUUGGUGAGGUAACGGCUCACCAAGGCAAUGAUACGUAGCCGAACUGAGAGGUUGAUCGGCCACAUUGGGACUGAGACACGGCCCAAACUCCUACGGGAGGCAGCAGUAGGGAAUCUUCCACAAUGGACGCAAGUCUGAUGGAGCAACGCCGCGUGAGUGAAGAAGGCUUUCGGGUCGUAAAACUCUGUUGUUGGAGAAGAAUGGUCGGCAGAGUAACUGUUGUCGGCGUGACGGUAUCCAACCAGAAAGCCACGGCUAACUACGUGCCAGCAGCCGCGGUAAUAAACA
rnacentral:rRNA from 2 species